rnacentral:rRNA from 1 species
UAAUACGUAGGUUGCAAGCGUGGUCCGGGUUAUUGGGCGUAAAGCGAGCGCAGGCCGAAUUGUUAGUUUGAUGUAAAAGCCCACGGCUCAACCUGGAACUGCAUCGGAAACUGUCAUUCUUGAGUGCAGAAGAGGAGAGUGGAACUCCAUGUGUAGCGGUGGAAUGCGUAGAUAUAUGGAAGAACACCAGUGGCGAAGGCGGCUCUCUGGUCUGCAACUGACGCUGAGGCUCGAAAGCAUGGGUAGCGAACAGGAUUAGAUACCCUGGUAGUCCAUGCCGUAAACGAUGAGCGCUAGGUGUUGGGGACUUUCCGGUCCUCAGUGCCGCAGCAAACGCAUUAAGCGCUCCGCCUGGGGAGUACGACCGCAAGGUUGAAACUCAAAGGAAUUGACGGGGGCCCGCACAAGCGGUGGAGCAUGUGGUUUAAUUCGAAGCAACGCGAAGAACCUUACCAGGUCUUGACAUCCUGUGACAAUUCUAGAGAUAGAACUUUCUCUUCGGAGACACAGAGACAGGUGGUGCAUGGCUGUCGUCAGCUCGUGUCGUGAGAUGUUGGGUUAAGUCCCGCAACGAGCGCAACCCUUGUCUUUAGUUGCCAUCAUUAAGUUGGGCACUCUAAAGAGACUGCCGGUGACAAACCGGAGGAAGGUGGGGAUGACGUCAAGUCAUCAUGCCCCUUAUGACCUGGGCUACACACGUGCUACAAUGGGCAGUACAACGAGAAGCGAACCCGCGAGGGUAAGCGGAUCUCUUAAAGCUGUUCUCAGUUCGGACUGCAGGCUGCAACUCGCCUGCACGAAGCUGGAAUCGCUAGUAAUCGCGGAUCAGCACGCCGCGGUGAAUACGUUCCCGGGCCUUGUACACACCGCCCGUCACACCAUGGAAGUCUGCAAUGCCCAAAGUCGGUGGGAUAACCAUUUUGGAGUCAGCCGCCUAAGGCAGGGCAGAUGACUGGGGUGAAGUCGUAACAAGGUAACCGUA